rnacentral:lncRNA from 1 species
UAUGCUCACCCCUAUCCCAACCCGUGUGUAUAUAUACCUUACCUUUUCUCGUAACCUCCAAUUCUCAGCCACCUCUCAAGUUUUCUAUAUUUUCUUUUCACUAUACUGAUACAAAGAAAUGACUCUGAGGAAAACCAACAAAAAUAUUCAGGCAGCUGCACUGAAGCAAAUCUUGAAAAGAUGUUCAAGCUUUGGCAAGAAAAACGAUGUCCCGAAAGGGCAUUUUGUUGUAUAUGUUGGUGAAAAUAGAAGCAGAUACAUCAUUUCUAUAGCAUGGUUAGGAGACACAGAAUUUCAAAGUUUGCUUCAAAGAGCAGAAGAAGAGUUUGGGUUUCAUCAUGAUAUGGGCCUUACUAUUCCUUGUGAUGAAGAUGAAUUUUUCUCUUUGAUAUCCAAUCCAUAUUAAUAUGAUGAUUGAUUUUUUAUUUUUUACUAAUUGGGAUAGUAAAUUGAUUGAAAAAGGCGAUCUAGUCGCACCUUCUAGUAUAACGAUUUUUUUAACGACACAGUCGUUUUGCACCUUUCAUGUCGAAUUUGUAUGUUGAUCUCAAUUUGUAAAAUUCUGAUUGCUUAUUAUGAGGUAUAUUGCAGAUAUUAAUUUUUUUCUUUGCCACAUAGAUUCUUAUUUGUUUGUUAUGCUUGACGUAAAGAAAGAACGUUAUAGGGAUGUUAGCAUGCUGGAACUGAGGAAAUUCAUGUAAUUGUUAACUAUUACCUUUCUUCAAUCCAUCAGUUAGCAAUAUAAUGUACAUACCAUGCGUUUACAACAAAAUGAAAG